ensembl:lncRNA
GCGCCAUUUUUCCAGGAGUUAGGAGAGAAAUCCAAAUUUUAAGGCCUACCAAUCAGAGGCCGAUUGGGAGAGCCCACUGGGAUAGGUGAGAAAUCAAUUCAACCAUGAGAAAUCAAUUCAACCAUAGUGUUUGAAAUCAUUCAAACACUAUAUAUUCAUUAAACGAUGCAUACAAAUAUAUACACACACACACACACACGCACGCACGCACGCACACACACACACACACACACACACACACACACACACACACACACACACACACACACACACACACACACACACACACACACACACACACACACACACACACACACACACACACACACACACACAACACAGUCUUUGAUAAAUAAAUCACACCAACCAUAAAAACGACACUCAAACGCUACCUCACCACCCCUGCCAUUAGCAAGCCAAAUUAACUGUCCCGGAACAGAAAAUAAAGCCCUGGUUCCCAUGUGGCACGCGUUCCCCACAUGGACAUAAUAAGGUUCCCCAUGGACCAGUUUGCUGGACGGACAGGAAGAAGGUUAGUUGAAUUGUGAGCGUUGUGUUCCGACAGACACAUUUAGGUAUGGUUAACUGUGUGAAUUAUGUAUCAUAUAAAUAAAUGAAGUGGACUUAACUGUGGUGUGUGGUUGUUGUUUGUAGUGUGGUGCUAUGACCCGGGGAACAUAGACACGCUCCCCUAUGUAUGUAUGCACGUGUAAAUGGGGCUAAAUGGUAGGAUCUGGGGAAAUGCGACCCUCGCUUUUCACAUUUCCUCCCCCCGAUGAAGGCUUGUCACUAGGGUGACGAGACAGGAAGUUUGCUACGGGAUUCUGUUUCCCUGCCCUUUACUUAAUAAGGGCGUGGUUAUGUUAAUCCAUCCUUGCCCUUACAGUGGUCAAGCGUUGUGACAAACUGCGCUUUUCCCAGACGCUCUAGGAGGUCCUCCAACCUCGGCAUUGGAUAGUUGUCGAAGCUGGACUGGGCGUUCAGCUGCCUAAAGUCAAUGCGGAAGCGGAGGCUCC